ensembl:lncRNA
GCUGUCUGCAGAGCCCAUAUAUGCUACUACAAAGUUUCAGCAUGCAACAGUCCUAAAAACAUAAUGUCCACAGGGAGUGAACACUGCAUUUCGACUGUAUACAGCCUGACUAGGACCACAGACUAUUCAUGUGUUUCCCAAGCAACUACCUACUGACAAGCAAUUACAUCCAAUUUCUUAAUAGCAGAAAGCGGGAGGACUAUUCCUGCAUGAAAAGUAUGCAGGUGUGAAAGUAGAGCCACUGAGCCAGAUCCCCAUGGCCUUGAUCCACCCAGGACUUUUUAAUGACGUGUUUAUCUUUAAUGAGAUAAAUGUGACCUUCUCAUGGAAAACUUUCUUCACAAUCAUUCUUCAGCAAUCUAAUGGAACUAUCCUUUCUAUCUAAACAGAAAAGAGUCUCAUCAGGAAAUUUACAAUAGAGGCUGGUGAUUUCAGCAUUUCUACAUCUACUCUGGGAUCCAUCCCUCAUAUCUCCUGCCUUUUAAUUCACAUGCUCGUUUCACAGUUCAAAAACUAUCCUCAUUUCUUGUUCAACUUUAAGAGGCACAAGUCGUUUCUGUCAAGAGGUGCACUUCUAGCAGAAAAAAAUAUAUAGUGUUAAAUCAGUUUCUUGUAAUGAAACCUGAGGACAACGUUGUGUUUGAUUCUCAAACUAGCAAAGAUACAUUCAGUCACACACAGCAUUCUAACGUCCUGCCAAUGCAAGGUGUUCUUUGCUUUUCUCGUAGUACUUUUUCUAUGUCCUGUUCCAAAACAUAAAAAGACCUAAAGAGCUUUUUUUCUCUUUUCUUCGGCAAUGUACACUGCAAGGAAAAAUGAAUCCUUCAGUUUGUCUCUGCCUUUAUAACAAGGGUCCUGGACCCUGUCUGCUGUGAGUAAUCAUCACUACCAAUAGCUUCCUUUCAUGCAUCUGUGCAGAAGGCAAUGCUAAGUUGCAGAGAAGGUAACAAAGGGGCAACAUGCUCACAGCAGCUGAGGAACCCCAACACUCUGCCUUACAAGGAAUAAAAGGAAGGAAAAAAUAAUAGUGUAAACUCAGUGUUGUUCCCCGUAUUUAGUUGAAUUCUUGAAAAUAAGACUCCUGAGGCAGGCCAGGAUCUUUUAAAAUAUAUUUCGAGAAAAACUGUUCCAAUUGGAAAACAUACCUGGACAUUCGACCAUAUGGGAAGAUUCUCAAAUUCUCCAAUCUGAUUCAUAUGGGUAAUUUAGAUAAUUAACUAAAGCUGUUCAAAGGAAGGCAAACAGAAAACAUCAGAAAAGGAAGCCAAGCAGACUUUCACAUGUAUAGCAACUGCUUCUCACUGAAGAAGACAUUAUGGCAUCGGUGAUCAGGGUAAAAGAUGAGUGGAGCUCAGGGGAUGGAAAAAACCUGCUACUCCAACUUAAUGGUAAGCUUUGGAAUAGAGGGAAGGCCACAGGGCACUUUCUGUAACAUCAGAGAUGGCUCCCUAUCUCUCUGAAGAUCUCUGUGUGAGCUGAGGUAACUCACCGCUAUAUCCCCCCAAACCAAUCAGGAAUGUGGCUGAGGAGGGACAGCAUUCUCUCUUAGAGAACACAGUCCGCGUUUGCUAUUAUUAUUUUAUCUUUAAGAAGCCAUUCAUUGCCUCAAAAUGACUUCCUGGCCUCAGUUAUCAAACAAUCAACAGCUGCCGCUUGAGAAGAACUGGUUGCCAUCCACAGUCUACAGGAAGCCUCAAAGGCAAAGAGUAAUUGCUGCACUGAAUUUGAAAAUAAGAACUCUAAAUGACUAUAUCCUGUUCUUGGUGGGAUGACAGUUGGGGUCAGGCCAAGCUGCUGGAACUGUAAGGAUCUUUGAACCAAGCACUAACCAACAGAAAUCAUGCACAGUACUGUUUUCUUCAGUAUUAAAAAGGUCUUAUUGAGGCUUGCAUUCUAUCAGCAGGACCAUAUAUAUGGUAUUGUACUCUGAACAAGGAAGUGAACUAAGGCUUCUAAUUUCUUGACUAACUUCUUAUAAAGAAUGAGAUCGGUGCCAAAAAACAAUCAGUAGAUCCCCCAGUCAAACAAAACUUUUAAGGUUGUGAUUAGAAUCAGUCAUUUGUGUUUAAAGUAAUUAAUGUGUUGCUGGAUGAGGGCCCAGUGACCUCUUUUUUGGACAAUAGUCUAGCUAAAUCCAAUAAAUGAAUGGUCAUUCUUGAAAACUGGAAGUUUGUUUAAUGAUAAGCUUUAAAAUCCUGUUUUCAGUUAUUGAAAUAAGCCAGCAAUUAAGCUAUGAAGACUAGGGGGCUAGAACAUGGCUGGCUAUUCAUACUUUCUUGUUGACAUCUGGAUGCUGCAAAUAUUUCAAUAUGUGACUAGAACUGUCAUUCCACAUUAGUAACGAGGGCCAAACCUUAGCUAAGACAAAUUCUGAGAACAACAUGCAUAUUAAAAUAAAUGAUUUAUCUGAAUACCGCAAUUUCUCUGGCAAUACCACUUGUAACAGUCCUAUUCUGGUGAUGAGUUACUGUUUUUCAUGUAUUGUAUUUAUCAAUAAAAACUAAGGCAUUCUG